AACAAAUGACAACAGACAACAACAAAAUAACAACAAAUAUCAACACAAACGUCCUAAUUUAGUUGGGGGUUUUUCCCGUUAAAUUGUUAACUUCGAUUUUAGUUUCGAUUUGAAUGUAAACCAAAAAAGGGACGCCACUCCGGUCAUCGCUAAAGAAUAUUCAACUUCUAGUAGUUGACCUACAUAGUUACUCGGAGUUGUGCACAUAAAGUAGGGGCCUCAUGGUUGACCACAUGAAUAUUGAUUUUUGAGGCUGGAAUCAAAGAUUUUUGUGUAAUCAGUUGUUAUUUGCAGUUAUCAGUUGUAAUUUGUUAUCAGUUGUUAUUUGUUGUUAUCUUGACAAAGAUAAAUACCGGUUGUGUGACGUAUCUGGCCUUUAUUAACGUGAGCCAAGUCUCAUUGUUGAACAUUGUAAGAGUGUGGCCAUGUUAAAUAAUUACCAUUCGAUCGCCAACAGACGGAGAAGUAGAACACAGUAAAUCGCUCUCCUGUAUUACGUCAACCAAGGACACACACGAAAGCUUGUGUUGAACUCAUCUAGAUGAGCGAUUGGCCGUGCUUGUCCUUCUCGUCCAUUGUCACUCGUGAAGUACCGUAGCUCAUUGCCUGAUUUUACCUGCACAGUGGUUUGGCAAAGUCUGUGAAUUGAUUAGAGCUGUUGUUUUUAUUUCAGUAUUUUCUUCUCCUAGCCCCGAGACAAUCUGACAACACCAUGAGGCUCUCGUUUCUCCCGUCCCUUCUGCUGGUUCUUUUCUUCGUCCUUCAUGGACACGUCGGAAGGACAACGGGAUGUCAACUAAAGGAUCCGAGAUUCAUGUUAGACUCUGACGAGACGGACAUUGUGGCAAAGACCACGCCACAACGCUCUUUUUCGCCCUGGGGGGAACGUGUUCUUCAAGGAGAAGACACUCUCUACAGGCCCAAAAACGGGUUUCUUUUCGAUGAUGAUAAACCGUUCAACUAAAGGGAAAUGGUGAAGCUUCCUUUCAAUGAAUGAAAAGGAAUAUGUCACCAGUGUCGGGUUGUUGGACAAAAGACGAGGCAGCAGUCACCUGAGAUGAGCAAGCUGCCAAACUUUAACGUACUGCUGGAUCCACCAUCACUUCCAAUAUCAACAACGACAACAAAACUAAAAUUACAACAAUAAAACAACGCUAACAAAGCAAAA